UCCAGAGGUGGCAAGCGUUGUUCGGAAUUACUGGGCGUAAAGGGCGCGUAGGCGGUUCGUUAAGUCCUGUGUGAAAUCCCCCGGCUCAACUGGGGAACUGCACAGGAAACUAGCGGGCUUGAGUUCGGGAGAGGGAAGCGGAAUUCCGGGUGUAGCGGUGAAAUGCGUAGAUAUCCGGAGGAACACCGGUGGCGAAGGCGGCUUCCUGGACCGACACUGACGCUGAGGCGCGAAAGCUAGGGGAGCAAACGGG
rnacentral:rRNA from 1 species